rnacentral:rRNA from 1 species
AGAGUUUGAUCAUGGCUCAGGAUGAACGCUGGCGGCGUGCUUAACACAUGCAAGUCGAACGAUGAUCCGGUGCUUGCGCCGGGGAUUAGUGGCGAACGGGUGAGUAACACGUGAGUAACCUGCCCUUGACUCUGGGAUAAGCCUGGGAAACUGGGUCUAAUACCGGAUAUGACUCCUCAUCGCAUGGUGGGGGGUGGAAAGCUUUUUGUGGUUUUGGAUGGACUCGCGGCCUAUCAGCUUGUUGGUGGGGUAAUGGCCUACCAAGGCGACGACGGGUAGCCGGCCUGAGAGGGUGACCGGCCACACUGGGACUGAGACACGGCCCAGACUCCUACGGGAGGCAGCAGUGGGGAAUAUUGCACAAUGGGCGAAAGCCUGAUGCAGCGACGCCGCGUGAGGGAUGACGGCCUUCGGGUUGUAAACCUCUUUCAGUAGGGAAGAAGCCCUCUUUGGGGGUGACGGUACUUGCAGAAGAAGCGCCGGCUAACUACAUGCCAGCAGCCGCGGUAAUACGUAGGGCGCAAGCGUUAUCCGGAAUUAUUGGGCGUAAAGAGCUCGUAGGCGGUUUGUCGCGUCUGCUGUGAAAGACCGGGGCUCAACUCCGGUUCUGCAGUGGGUACGGGCAG